GCUGGGGACAGUGGUGCAUGUCUGUAAUCCCAGCAACUUGGGAGGCUGAGGCAGGAAGAUCAUGAGUUCCAAGCCAGCCUCUAAAGGUGAGGCAUUAAGCAACUCAGUGAGACCCUGUCUCUU
rnacentral:sRNA from 1 species